rnacentral:lncRNA from 1 species
CUGGUCAAGAGCUCACCAUCUGCAGAAUAAGGACCAGAACUUUACAGAGGUAAACUGUGUCAGUUCUUUUACUAUUACAGCAGUUCAUCGUGGCCCUGUCGUUCGCCUCCUUCACCAAAGCUCUGUCAGGGACCUACAUGAAGAGUGCCAUCACUCAGAGAGACACUUUGACCUGUCCUGCUCUCUCAUCGGACUCAUAGACAGCAGCUUUGAGAUGGGUUUCAACAAUAACAUUGAGUUGCUUGAGAAUUCAUGUAGUAAAAACCAGAUACAGACUACAGUAUGAUCCAUUUUUUUUGUGGUUCAAUCAGAGUCUGCUCUCAAUACUGUCCAGUUUUAUAGUUGUUCCUAUUAAUUGAUUGACUGGCGUUUGUCCAUGACUCUACUGUCAAACCCCUAACAUUGUUGUAUUUGAUGCUAUGUUGUUGCAGCCUAGUAUCCAAACUGAUAUACCAUUUUUAGUUGAAAAAAAACAGUGUUUAUAAUUUGCAAUUCCUGACUUCUGUAGUGUUGUGGUUUCUUGCAGGUAACCUGCUGUUCCUGGCUGUGGUCAGCCAUUUUGGGGCGAAGCUGCACCGGCCCAGGCUCAUUGCUAUGGGCUGUUUCCUCAUGGCUGUAGGAUCCUUCCUCACAGGCCUGCCACACUUCUUCAUGGGACGGUAAAACAACUGAAAUACUGGUUAAACUUAUACUUGUAGAGAUACUCCAAUGCAGAGGAUAGUUUCACUUUAGAAAGAAAGAAAUGUAUCCAGUUGUUGAUUAAUUUCAGUUAACUUCGAACUAAAGUCUUGCGUAAUUGGUCAACUGCUUGAUUAUGUUUUGGGGCCAUACAUGUUAAGAGAAGGGAUUAACUUGUUAUGGCUGCAAUCCUGUUAACGGGAUAAGUGUCAUCAACAACCGCUGAAUAGCAUAGCGCUACAUUCAAUAAAUAUUAUUAAAAAUAUUUAAAUUCAUGAAAUCACAAGUGCAAUAUAAGAAAACACAGUUUAGCCUUUUGUUAAUCCACCUGUCAUGUCAGAUUUUGAAAUUAUGCUUUACAGCGAAAGCAAUCCAAGCGUUUGUGUAAAUUUAUCGAUCGCUCGACAAAACAUUAAGUACACUUAGCAUCAAGUAGCUCGGUCAUGAAAAUUUGAAAAGCAAUUCAAUUUAUUGUUUACCUUUGAUGAUCUUUGGAUGUUCUCACGA